AGAAUCAACGCUGGCGGCGUGCCUAACACAUGCAAGUCGAACGAGAAAGUGGAGCAAUCCAUGAGUAAAGUGGCGCACGGGUGAGUAACACGUGACUAACCUACCCUUGAGUGGGGGAUAACCUAGAGAAAUCUGGGCUAAUACCGCAUAAUACCUUCGGGUCAAAGGAGCAAUUCGCUUAAGGAGGGGGUCGCGGCCGAUUAGUUAGUUGGCGGGGUAAUGGCCCACCAAGACUAUGAUCGGUAUCCGGCCUGAGAGGGCGCACGGACACACUGGAACUGAAACACGGUCCAGACUCCUACGGGAGGCAGCAGUGGGAAUUUGCGCAAUGGGGGAAACCCUGACGCAGCAACGCCGCGUGGAGGAUGAAGUCCCUUGGGACGUAAACUCCUUUCGAUCGGGACGAUAAUGACGGUACCGAGAGAAGAGCCCCGGCUAACUUCGUGCCAGCAGCCGC
rnacentral:rRNA from 1 species